rnacentral:rRNA from 1 species
UUAUACAACCUCAACUCAUAUGGGACUACCCCCUGAAUUUAAGCAUAUUAAUUAGGGGAGGAAAAGAAACUAACAAGGAUUUUCUUAGUAGCGGCGAGCGAAAAGAAAUCAGUUCAGCACUAAGUCACUUUGUCUUUAUGGCAAAUGUGAGAUGCAGUGUAUGGAACAUCAAUAAUUUAGUAUGAGAAAUUAACGAUUUAAGUCCUUCUUAAAUGAGGCCAUUUACCCAUAGAGGGUGCCAGGCCCGUAUAACGUUAAUGAUUACUUAGAUGAUGUUUCCAAAGAGUCGUGUUGCUUGAUAGUGCAGCACUAAGUGGGUGGUAAACUCCAUCUAAAACUAAAUAUAACCAUGAGACCGAUAGUAAACAAGUACCGUGAGGGAAAGUUGAAAAGAACUCUGAAUAGAGAGUUAAAUAGUACGUGAAACUGCUUAGAGGUUAAGCCCGAUGAACCUGAAUAUCCGUUAUGGAAAAUUCAUCAUUAAAAUUGUAAUAUUUAAACAAUAUUAUAAUGAUAGUGUGCAUUUUUUCCAUAUAAGGACAUUGUAAUCUAUUAGCAUAUAUAAAUUUAUCAAAAAAUGUUAACAUAAUGUUUACUUGGAUUAAAGUGCUUGCGCUUUAACAUAAAGUAAAAGUUAACAAUUUGAUAAAGUGCUGAUAGAUUUAUAUGAUUACAGUGCGGUAAUUCUUUAGAAUUAUAUAAUGGCAUAAUUAUCAUUGAUUUUUAUGUUUAUUAUAUGCACUUGUAUGAUUAACAAUGCGAAAGAUUCAGGAUACCUUCGGGACCCGUCUUGAAACACGGACCAAGGAGUCUAACAUAUGUGCAAGUUAUUGGGAUAUAAACCUAAUAGCGAAAUUAACUUGACUAUUAAUGGGAUUAGUUUUUUAGCUAUUUAUAGUUAAUUAACGCAAUCCCGGGGCGUUCUAUAUAGUUAUGUAUAAUAAUAUUUAUAUUAUUUAUACCUCUAACUGGAACGUACCUUGAUCAUAUAUGCUGUGAACCGAAAGAUGGUGAACU